rnacentral:rRNA from 1 species
AGCAGGGGUGACUGCGUACCUUUUGUAUAAUGGGUCAGCGACUUACAUUCAGUGGCGAGGUUAACCGGAUAGGGGGGCCGAAGAGAAAUCGAGUCCGAACAGGGCGAUUUAGUCGCUGGGUGUAGACCCGAAACCAGGUGAUCUACCCAUGGCCAGGAUGAAGAUGCGGUAACACGCAUUGGAGGUCCGAACCCACUAACGUUGCAAAGUUAGGGGAUGAGCUGUGGGUAGGGGUGAAAGGCUAAACAAACCUGGAGAUAGCUGGUUCUCUCCGAAAGCUAUUUAGGUAGUGCCUCAAGAAUCACCACCGGGGGUAGAGCACUGUUAUGGCUAGGGGGUCAUCGCGAUUUACCAAACCAUUGCAAACUCCGAAUACCGGUGAGUGCGAUCUUGGGAGACAGACGUCGGGUGCUAACGUCCGGCGUCGAGAGGGAAACAACCCAGACCGCCAGCUAAGGUCCCAAAGAUUGGCUAAGUGGCAAACGAAGUGGGAAGGCAAAAACAGUCAGGAGGUUGGCUUAGAAGCAGCCACCCUUUAAAGAAAGCGUAAUAGCUCACUGAUCGAGUCGUCCUGCGCGGAAGAUGUAACGGGGCUAAGCCAGUCACCGAAGCUGCGGAUAUCCUUUUAGGAUAUGGUAGGAGAGCGUUCUGUAAGCCGCAGAAGGCGUGUUGAAAAGCAUGCUGGAGGUAUCAGAAGUGCGAAUGCUGACAUGAGUAGCGAUAAUGGAGGUGAAAAGCCUCCACGCCGAAAGCCCAAGGUUUCCUGUCCAACGUUCAUCGGGGCAGGGUGAGUCGGCCCCUAAGGCGAGGCAGAGAUGCGUAGCUGAUGGGAAGCAGGUUAAUAUUCCUGCACCGUCGUUAGAUGCGAUGGGGGGACGGAUCGCGGAAAGUUGUCCGGGUGUUGGAAAUCCCGGUUCUUGAUUUGAAGGAGGCUGUCAGGCAAAUCCGGCAGCGAAAUCCAAGGAAUUGAGACGAGUGGCCAUGUGCCGCGAAGCAAUUGGAAGUGGUUCCAGGAAAAGCCUCUAAGCUUCAGUCUAACGAGACCGUACCGCAAACCGACACAGGUGGGCGAGAUGAGUAUUCUAAGGCGCUUGAGAGAACUCGGGAGAAGGAACUCGGCAAAUUGGUACCGUAACUUCGGGAAAAGGUACGCCCUUGUAUCUUGAAAGGCCUGCGCCUGUAGGGAGAAGGGGUUGCAAUAAAAAGGUGGCUGCGACUGUUUAAUAAAAACACAGCACUCUGCAAACACGAAAGUGGACGUAUAGGGUGUGACGCCUGCCCGGUGCUGGAAGAUUAAAUGAUGGGGUGAGAGCUCUUGAUUGAAGUCCCAGUAAACGGCGGCCGUAACUAUAACGGUCCUAAGGUAGCGAAAUUCCUUGUCGGGUAAGUUCCGACCUGCACGAAUGGCGUAACGAUGGCCACACUGUC